UCUCUCUCCGUUCUCAUCCUCUAUUUCUCUCACCAUAUCACUCCAUCGUCUCUCUCCGUUCUCAUCCUCUAUUUCUCUCACCAUAUCACUCCAUCGUCUCUCUCCGUUCUCAUCCUCUAUUUCUCUCACCAUAUCACUCCAUCAUCUCUCUCCGUUCUCAUUUCUCUUCUUGCGCUCUACUCGUACUUCAUCAUCCAUCUCCCUCCUUUCUUCCUCUUCUAUCUCACUCUCUUCAAUCUUGCACUCCUUUCUUUCUCUCUUCUCUUUUUCAUUCUCUUUCUCUCACGCUUUCACUCUCUCUUUCGCUCUCAUUCUCUCAAUAUCUCGCUCUCUCAAUCUCUUACUCUCUCAUUCUCUCACUCACUAUCGCACUCUCUCCUUCUCUAACUCUCACUCUCUCUGUUCUCUAAUAACAGAUGAGGUGCCCGAGAAUCUUCCUUUCCCUGACGGUAAAGAGGUUGUCCCCACAGAGAAAGACGACUUGAGCUACGCUGUCACAGAGGAUUCUAUUACACCACCACCUACCUAUGAAAGCCCAUGGUACGAGGAGUAUGACUAUGGAUAUAGUGGUGGAGAGAGUAUGUACACACACAGACACACACACACACAUGAAAUGAACUAACAUUAACCCAUGGCCAAAUCUCCAAUAGAAAUCUGUUUUUCAUUUCAUUGGGACCCUGCAGUAAAUUAAAGAUUAGAUAGACACAAUAAAGAAUUGGACCGCUACCACAGAGUCAAAGUAAUGGGCCUACACUCUUUCAUUCCCCACAAGAAUGAACAAGAGACGUGUAUAAUUGUCAGACUGUUUCAAUUACAUGGUCUGUUAUCUUCUUCAUAAAAUUGGGUUUAGCGAGACUUUGCCAGCUGAAGUUACAAACUGCAAAAUAAGCUAAGUAAUGGAAUUGAUCCUUUCUUCAAACACUUAUGUUUAUGGUUAUGUGGCAAACAUGAAGAAAGGGAAGAGGGGAAAAAGUUGAAGAAUGCUUUGUUCACACCUGUUGUGAUGGAUUAUCUGUCAGAUAGAAUAGGGAAUCAUGACAGCUGUUGGUGUUCUAUCUGCAACCUUUUGAAUGUUUCACAUCUGAAACAUGGGGAGGUGGGGAAAAUGGAUUCACCCAUUGAAGUUUUUCACUCCUUUGUUUACUACAGCAAAAAAACAGGAGGAGGAGGAGGAGAGGGAAAGACAAAGGAAAGAAAAGGAGAGAGAGGACAGAGGUAUGAUCUGACCUGUGGUCUGUCUGUUCCAUUAUGAUCUGAAUGACUGUGAUCUAUCUGUCCGUCUGUCCGUCCAUCUGUCCUAGGUUGUGGAUACUUCCCAUCAUACAGUAAUAUUUGACACUACGUUUACAUGUUGGUCAUUUAGCCGUAAGACUAAAUAUCUUUGGUAAUUCUUAUGCAGAGCGGCUAACAAUCAGUGCAUUCAAUUAAGGGAGGUAAAACAACCACACAUUGCAACAAGUAAAACUUAGUAACACUGCAAUGCCAAACGUUGUACUGUCAAAGCUCUCAGACAAUCAGAAGAACAUAUGACACACAGAUAGAACAUGUCAUGUUACUCACAGAUUCAUGUACAGGAGGUUUAUCAGUCCCAUGUGGUUCAUGGUUCCAAUAAAAGCCAAAAGAACGAAAACACAGAUGUUAGUCUCUGCCUGGGCUUCACUUGCUAAGACUUGCAGACGAGGGACAAAAGUUAAUUCUCUCCAGAACAGGACAAAUCUCAACCGUAGAAAUGUGUUGUGAAGGAAGGAUGGCAGGGAAGAAAGGCCUGGGGUAUAGUGGUGACCUGUACUGUUUGAAUUAUUUAUGAGCUGGAGUGGAGCAAAGAAAGAGGGGGGGAUGGGCCAGCCAAGAGAGGUUACAGUACUGACAGGAAAGAUGAAUGAAAAGAGAGAAAAAAACAAGAUAAGGGAUAGAAACAGAGGAGCAUAGAGUCCCGGUUAGAGAAGGAAGGCAGAGAUGGAGAUCUAACCAACAGCUGUUGCCACAUGUUCUGGUCUCUUUCUGUACCUCGUGCACUGUGACCAUGUUAGAACCACAGGAACUGUAUAAUCAUAAUAUGGAACAUUUGUCUGUGUGGGAUAUCCAGGGUGUGGGAUUAACCAGUAAAGGGAUGCCAGAUGUACUGUGUUUUCAGUGUGGGAUAGCCAAUAAAGGGCUGACAGAUAUAGUGCAUUUUCAGUGUGGGAUUAACCAGUAAAGGGAUGACAGAUAAUCUUUAAGGAUCCUUGAGGUUAAAAGUGUCUGUGAUUAAAAUCGCUCAACUGAAACAGUCAUAAAACAGGUGUGUACAGUGUGUCUGUCUGUCUGCAACUUUAUGGAGUAUGCUGUGAAAGCCCAUGCGCGCACGCCUGUCUCUAGGUUUACUGAAUACAAUAAAAUUCAUGUGAAUUUAUUCAGCAAAUUCCUGGAUUUGGAGAGAUAGAAAGGAACCCAGAGGCAUGUGGGUCCUCUGAGGUGUUACUGCAUUUGGCCACAUACACGCAGGCACGCACAUACACGCACAGACACGCACAUACACGCAGGCACACGCAGGCACGCACAUACACGCAGGCAUGCACAUACACGCAGGCACGCACAUACACGCAGGCACGCACAUACACGCAGGCACGCACAGGCACG
rnacentral:lncRNA from 13 species